rnacentral:rRNA from 1 species
UGACAGCUGUCGAAAGAUGGUUUUCUUCGGACACUCUUCAAGGUGCUGCAUGGUUGUCGUCAGCUCGUGCCGUGAGGUGUCGGGUUAAGUCCCAUAACGAGCGCAACCCUUACCGUUAGUUACCAUCAGGUUAAGCUGGGGACUCUAGCGGGACUGCCACCGUAAGGUGAGAGGAAGGUGGGGAUGACGUCAAAUCAGCACGGCCCUUAUGUCCAGGGCUACACACGUGUUACAAUGGCCGGUACAAAGGGCAGCUACUUCGCGAGAAGAUGCUAAUCUCGAAAGCCGGUCUCAGUUCGGAUCGAAGUCUGCAACCCGACUUCGUGAAGCUGGAUUCGCUAGUAAUCGCGCAUCAGCCAUGGCGCGGUGAAUACGUUCCCGGGCCUU